rnacentral:tRNA from 1 species
UCCCUGGUGGCUCAGACGGUAAAGCGUCUGCCUGCAAUGCGGGAGACCCAGGUUUGAUCCCUGGAUCGGGAA